rnacentral:miRNA from 1 species
UGAUUACACGGAAGGUUCUUUU